AGGACGAACGCUGGCGGCGUGCCUAACACAUGCAAGUCGAACGGAAAGGCUCUCUUCGGAGAGUACUCGAGUGGCGAACGGGUGAGUAACACGUGGGUAACCUACCUCUGACUGGGGGACAACCGGUGGAAACGCCGGCUAAUACCGCAUGACGUGCGGCGUCACAAGGCGCCGUACCAAAGUGGCUUCGGCAGUCGGUCAGAGAUGGGCCCGCGGCGGAUUAGCUUGUUGGUGGGGUAAUGGCCUACCAAGGCGACGAUCCGUAGCUGGUCUGAGAGGACGAUCAGCCACACUGGAACUGAGACACGGUCCAGACUCCUACGGGAGGCAGCAGUGGGGAAUAUUGGACAAUGGGCGAAAGCCUGAUCCAGCAAUGCCGCGUGUGUGAAGAAGGUCUUCGGAUUGUAAAGCACUUUCGACGGGGACGAUGAUGACGGUACCCGUAGAAGAACGCCCCGGCUAACUUCGUGCCAGCAGCCGC
rnacentral:rRNA from 1 species